ensembl:lncRNA
GUUUUUUGUUUUUUAUGUAAAUAAUAAAGACACAAAUCUACCGCCAUAAAAUGUGACCAAAAAAAACUGAAGUUAGAUACCAACCCAAGCCCACAAUAUGUGUGUUAAAGUCUUCAAUUAACUUUUCUAUUUUGUAAUAUUUUGUUGAAGUUUCCAACAUCAGAAAUCUAGAAAGCCAGAUGUUUAGAAGACGAUUCUGCUACUGCGUCACAAAUGAGACCAACGAUUUAUCAGGCAGGAAGCUCCAUAUUUAGUCUAAAUUUGAUAUGUUUAAACAAUUGUUUGAAUUAACCAGAUUUUUUGGUUUUCCCCACUAGAUUUUGCUGCCAUUCUUUUGGACGUGAUGGAGAAUUCAACAAGUUACCUUCAUGAGCUUUUCAAAUCUGCCUCCAUAGUGUCAGUGAGCCAGAGGAACAACUCUGAAUGCAUCUACAUCUGUGUGAUGGCUGGUAAAAUGGGCAGAAAGGUCCCUGAGUUGUGGGAUGGAGAAUCCAUCUCUCUGCUGUUCAACAAAACUAUUGUGGAGGGACCACAUCGAGCAAACAUCUCGUCCCUCAGACUCCCCAUCGGAUGGCACCAACUGCCUACAAAUCUGAGUCUCAUCUCUCCAUCUGGGAUCAGCUCCAUGUUAGGCAGCAGAGUCCAAUCCACAGCACAUGGUACUCCAGCACCUCUGGAUAAAACAGCUGCAGCAAUGGCACAGCUUCUUGCCUCUGCUAACUCAUCAAAUGCUACACCUCAAAGAUCACGACUGCAGAACACAACAGAAGCAGGAGCUACUGUAUCCAGAACAUCAGAAGCAGGAGCUACUGUAUCCAGAACAAUAGAAGCAGGAGCUACUGUAUCCAGAACAUCAGAAGCAGUAUCUACUGUAUCCAGAACAAUAGAAGCAGGAGCUACUGUAUCCAGAACAAUAGAAGCAGGAGCUACUGUAUCCAGAACAUCAGAAGCAGUAUCUACUGUAUCCAGAACAAUAGAAGCAGCAGCUGUAACUCCACCUCUAGAACCUGCAUUGGGUCCAACCACAGGUCCACCUCCAUCUGCAGCAGCUCAACCCAAAACCAAACCCAACUCAACGCCAAUCACCAAACACCUUGUGACGUCCUCACCUAUUCCAACAACAAUGUCAACUUCCAAAUUAACCACAAAGCACACGACUGCCACAAGCACUACAGUUCAUCAUAGCUGGAGAACUACAGGUCCCAUAAUGCAUUUGGAAACAGAAAAAGCAGGCUGUCCAUGGAAAAGACCCGAGUCGACAUCAAACUCCAUAUUCAGCGGCAGCGUGACGACUGUUAGCGCUCACAAGCUACAGCCGUGCAUCUUCGAGCUGUGCAAGUUCUUCUCCCAGUGCCUCUGCAGACCCUUCAGCCACCAGACACGCAUGAACAGGUUCUCCCAUUGGCUAAUUAUAUCCUCUAUACUGGGAUGGCACCUGCAGUGGACAGUGGAUGGUUUCAUUAUAUUUGGAUUGGAAGUAUUUGAUUUAUUUUUUUCCAAGGAAGCGGUGUCAACAGAAACCUACUUUUGAAAUACUUUAAAAUGAGGUUAACACAGAUUAGCCAAAGGUUUACUUGUAUCCACACCUUUACUAACCACUAUGGUUACUUAACACAUCACAAAAACAUUCAGAAUAUGUUAAAAAAUGUUCACAUUUUAGUGAAUCCUGACAAAUCAAGACAUUUUAACAUGGGA